AGUGAACGCUGGCGGUAGGCCUAACACAUGCAGGUCGAACGGCAGCACAGUAAGAGCUUGCUCUUACGGGUGGCGAGUGGCGGACGGGUGAGGAAUACAUCGGAAUCUACUUUUUCGUGGGGGAUAACGUAGGGAAACUUACGCUAAUACCGCAUACGACCUACGGGUGAAAGCAGGGGAUCUUCGGACCUUGCGCGAUUGAAUGAGCCGGUGUCGGAUUAGCUAGUUGGCGGGGUAAAGGCCCACCAAGGCGACGAUCCGUAGCUGGUCUGAGAGGAUGAUCAGCCACACAGGAGCUGAGACACGGUCCAGACUCCGAGGGGAGGCAGCGGUGGGGAAGAUGGGAAAAAGGGGGCAAGCCUGAUCCAGCCAUGCCGGGUGGGUGAAGAAGGCCUUCGGGUGGUAAAGCCCUUUUGUUGGGAAAGAAAGGCAGCAGGUUAAUACCCCGCUGUUCGGACGGUACCCAAAGAAUAAGCACCGGCUAACUUCGU
rnacentral:rRNA from 1 species